GCAUUAAUGGGGUAGUGGUAACCUGGGUCGUUGCCAUGUUGAUGACUCGACCCGCCGGGGGUUCGAUUCCCUCUUAAUGCA